rnacentral:rRNA from 1 species
CCUACGGGGAGCAGCAGUGAGGAAUAUUGGUCAAUGGACGCAAGUCUGAACCAGCCAUGCCGCGUGCAGGAAGACGGCUCUAUGAGUUGUAAACUGCUUUUGUACGAGGGUAAACGCAGAUACGCGUAUCUGUCUGAAAGUAUCGUACGAAUAAGGAUCGGCUAACUCCGUGCCAGCAGCCGCGGUAAUACGGAGGAUUCAAGCGUUAUCCGGAUUUAUUGGGUUUAAAGGGUGCGUAGGCGGUCGGAUAAGUUAGAGGUGAAAUCCCGGGGCUCAACUUCGGAAUUGCCUCUGAUACUGUACGGCUAGAGAGUAGUUGCGGUAGGCGGAAUGUAUGGUGUAGCGGUGAAAUGCUUAGAGAUCAGACGGAACACCGAUGGCGAAGGCAGCCUACCAAGCUACUUCUGACGUUGAGGCACGAAAGCGUGGGGAGCAAACAGGAUUAGAUACCCUUGUAGUC